rnacentral:rRNA from 1 species
GACGAACGCUGGCGGCGUGCUUAACACAUGCAAGUCGAACGAAGUGGCGAACGGGUGAGUAAUACGUGGGUAACCUGCCCUCCUUUCUGGGAUAAGCCUUGGAAACGGGGUCUAAUACCGAAUAUAGGGGGACGGGCUCGCGGCCUAUCAGCUUGUUGGUGGGGUGAUGGCGUACCAAGGCGGUGACGGGUAGCCGGCCUGCGGGGGUGACCGGGAACAUUGGAACUGCCAUACGCCCCAGGGUCGGACGAGAGGGAGCAGUGCGGGAUAUGGCGGAAUGGGGGAAAGCCUAAGGCAGCGACGCCGCGUGGGGGAUCAGGGCUUACGGGUUGUAAAUCUCUGUAGCUAUAGAGCGGGUAGGUGGAGAAGAAGCGACGGCUAACUACGUGCCAGCCGCCGCGGUAAUUC